rnacentral:rRNA from 1 species
UACGAAGGGGGCUAGCGUUGUUCGGAAUCACUGGGCGUAAAGCGCACGUAGGCGGAUCUUUAAGUCAGGGGUGAAAUCCCGAGGCUCAACCUCGGAACUGCCUUUGAUACUGGGGAUCUCGAGUCCGGGAGAGGUGAGUGGAACUGCGAGUGUAGAGGUGAAAUUCGUAGAUAUUCGCAAGAACACCGGUGGCGAAGGCGGCCAACUGGACCAUUACUGACGCUGAGGCGCGAAAGCGUGGGGAGCAAACAGG